CACGUAGGCGGCCAUUCAAGUCAGAGGUGAAAGCCCGGGGCUCAACCCCGGAACUGCCUCUGAAACUAGAUGGCUUGAAUCUUGGAGAGGCGAGUGGAAUUCCGAGUGUAGAGGUGAAAUUCGUAGAUAUUCGGAAGAACACCAGUGGCGAAGGCGACUCGCUGGACAAGUAUUGACGCUGAGGUGCGAAAGCGUGGGGAGCAAACA
rnacentral:rRNA from 1 species